AACAAUAUUUUAGUUAAAAGUUUUACGUUUUUUAAUUGAACUUUCUUACCACCACAGGAGGCUUUAAUUUCAUAUUUAAACGAUGAGAAACCAAAAAAAAACAAUUACAGAAUAUAUAAGUGAAAUAUGCUAUAGAAAAUUAAGCACAGUCUAACAUCUGCAACCAGAUAUCUAUUACCAUUAUAUGCAAUAGUUUUAAACGAAUAAAACAGAAUAAAAAACAACUAAAUAAGCAAUAGCCCAAAGUAAAUAUUGGCCAUGAUUAGCCUGUCAUUGGCCCAACAAGGCCAAUAUUUUCUCCAUUUUCACUUGCAAAAGAUCAGCAAACAACCAAUUGGCACUAAACAACAAUCAGAACAACCAACAGAACAAGCAGAACAACAACCAAUGGCAAUUGAAACAUAAUUUCUUUCAGUUGAUUGAUUAUAUAUAAUUUCCUAUAUUCAGUUCUUUAGUUGACUCUCAAGACUUUCGAAAACUGUUUUGGCGUACACCUAAAAUCAAUAAAUAAAAGAAGUAACUAUCACGGACGAGCCAAAGGAAUCGUAUUUCUAAACUCAAAACAGCUUCAGGGACCAACUAAAAAAAGAAAGGAUAAAUGAUUUAAAACAAGAAAUGAAAAAUAUAACAACAAGUAAUAAAGAACAACUGGUAAAUUAACUAAAAUGUAAAGACAUGGCAUAAAAUAUUUAACGUAUUUACGUAAAAUUAACAUUUCCAGGCAUAUCUAAAAGAAAACUAAGAAAAAUUCAAAUAAAAACGCAUUCAAAAUUAUGAAAAAAAUGCAUAUGCAUGUACAUAUAUACAAGAACCCCAAAAACCUUUGAUAGGUACUUCAGGCAAAAUCAUUUCGGAAGGUAAAAAUUCCACAUACAUUUAAGGCAAAAGUGUAUACGAUGUGCAAAAGAAAUUUAAACUAAAAGUGGAUUAGGUGUAUAAGAUAUACAUACCUAGAUAUUUGGCUAAAAACAUAAACCCUAUGAAAACC